CCAACAGAGAGCUCAGAGGCGUAAUCCUGGCAGUUGUUGUGGCUCUUAACCAAGACUGCAUAGAUGACUACCAGCUGCCUGAUGUGAUGGAGGUGCAAGCACAAAUUCUCAAACUUGAUUCACCCUUAUACACCCACACAUUGCACCUCUCUGGAGUUCCAAGAACAAGUGAUGAUCAGCUCCACAUCUGCCGAUACUCAACUUUGCAUCCGAUGAUUUGGACGUUUAAAGAUGGGUACACCAUACAAGUCGUUAAACGGGAACCACCAAUCAAACAAGGCGUUGAGCUAAAGAUGCAUGGGAUUCAUUUUGUUUAUGAAGGGGAUGAUGAUUUUAAAGGUGAAGAACAUGUAUUGAACGAGACACAGCUCACUGUCUCUCAGAAGCUUGCCAAUUUUUUCAGGUCGUUUGAAGAAGGUGAAGCCAGCUCAGAAAGUGAAUCUGCUUAUACUCACAACAGAUGGUUCAGUACUUCAGUCUCUCUCUUACUGUUAUGGGUGGUGUUGAUAAGUUUUGUUGGAUGGUGUUUUUUUGGGAUAUGGGGUAAAGUCCCUGAUGAUCUUGGGAACCUUUCAUCUCUCAAGAAACUAGAACUGGGGAAUAACUAUUUUCACAGUCUUCCAUCUAGUCUUGAGGGGUUAUGGAAUCUUAAAGUAUUUACAUUGUAUGACUGCCAAGAGCUGAAGUGUGUUCCCCCUCUUCCUUGGAAACUGGAGAGGCUUAACCUGGCAAACUGCUUUUCAUUGGAGAGUAUAUCCGACCUUUCAAAGCUGCAGAUCUUGGAUGAGCUCAAUCUCACAAACUGUGGGAAAGUGGAUGAUGUUCCAGGCCUAGAGCACUUGAAGGCUCUGAAAAGAUUAUACAUGAGCGGCUGCAACUCUAGGUUCUCUGUUGCAGUCAAGAAAAGACUUUCCAAGGUGAUUCUGCAAACUCCUUAACAUCUCAGGUGGUUUUGUUAACAACUUAGAAUGUUUUGAAUUCUCACUGCAGGCUUCUUUGAAAAUGAUGGUGAAUCUGAGCUUACCUGGGAACAGAAUCCCUGACUGGUUCUCACAAGGCCCUAUCACAUUCUCACCUCAACCCAACAGAGAGCUCAGAGGCGUAAUCCUGGCAGUUGUUGUGGCUCUUAACCAAGACUGCAUAGAUGACUACCAGCUGCCUGAUGUGAUGGAGGUGCAAGCACAAAUUCUCAAACUUGAUUCACCCUUAUACACCCACACAUUGCACCUCUCUGGAGUUCCAAGAACAAGUGAUGAUCAGCUCCACAUCUGCCGAUACUCAACUUUGCAUCCGAUGAUUUGGACGUUUAAAGAUGGGUACACCAUACAAGUCGUUAAACGGGAACCACCAAUCAAACAAGGCGUUG
rnacentral:lncRNA from 1 species